CAGAGAGAGAAUUGCUCUCAAGCUAGAGAUUAACAAGAUAGACAACACAGAGGCAGAACUUCGUGCAAGUUUCUACCAUAAUUAACAGACAAGAUAUUCAUUACAUGAAUAUUACUAACAAAUGUAACAAACAGUCAAAAAUUUAUUAAGAAAGUGAUAAAUACAACAUGGAAGGUGCUUAUAUAUAUAUAUAUAUAUAUACUUUCGGUUGUCGGCAAACCACUGUGCAACAUUUGCAAAAAUCUUAUAAUACUGAAUUGGAACAAUAAAAGAAUAUCGUAGGGUAUGAUGUUGCUGUGAAAAUUGUGACAUUUGUGUGAUAACAGUAAAGAUACAACUUUGAACUGAAAGAUAUACAUGCAGGAUACACGUAUUAAUAUACAAUUACAGUAGGAAAAGUCAAUGUCAAUGACAAUGAGAGAGAGAUAGACAUACCUUCAACGUUAACUUCUAAAUCUUCUAAGCUACCGGCAACAUUACUAACGAAACUGCAAGCUCUGCACUGCCACUACCAUCAACCCCCAUAUGAAAACUAGCAGGUUGAUCUACUGGAAUUAAUUCCAGCAAUUUCUGGUGUGAAAGAAACAAGGCAACGUCCUCCCCCUACUACUUGAACAUGAUUGGGUACUUCUCCUUCAUUGAUAGAAAUUUCAAGUUGUCCUUCACCAGCCGCACUAGCAUCAACUAUAAAAUUAACAAAGGA